rnacentral:pre_miRNA from 1 species
UGGGGGGAGGGGUGGGUCCCUCAACCCAGAUAGCAAGAGGGUGCAGGCCAGGCCGAGGGACCCCACCGGUGCAUG